CUUAGAUUGUGGAUAAUAUGCAACUCAAGAUAUCAUAAAGUAAGCUUCCAUGUACAAUAGCAGUGGUUGAAGUGAAGAAUUCAAAGUCAAGGAACCAGAACCGGAGGACUACCCUCCAAGCAAAGCAAAGAACUCCAAGCACUCGAUCCUAGCUUCUACCAAUUAAUAGCAUAGGCUCCUAUAUAUUUAGAACAUAAAUAAAUGUACCCUGAUGUUAUAAAGUUAAUGUCAAUAUAUCUAUGUAAAUUAAAUAAAUCUCAUUACAUUAAGCAUGGACGCGC